rnacentral:rRNA from 1 species
GGGAAUAUUGGACAAUGGGCGAAAGCCUGAUCCAGCCAUGCCGCGUGUGUGAAGAAGGUCUUCGGAUUGUAAAGCACUUUAAGUUGGGAGGAAGGGUUGUAGAUUAAUACUCUGCAAUUUUGACGUUACCGACAGAAUAAGCACCGGCUAACUCUGUGCCAGCAGCCGCGGUAAUACAGAGGGUGCAAGAGUUAAUCGGAAUUACUGGGCGUAAAGCGCGCGUAGGUGGUUCGUUAAGUUGGAUGUGAAAGCCCCGGGCUCAACCUGGGAACUGCAUUCAAAACUGACGAGCUAGAGUAUGGUAGAGGGUGGUGGAAUUUCCUGUGUAGCGGUGAAAUGCGUAGAUAUAGGAAGGAACACCAGUGGCGAAGGCGACCACCUGGACUGAUACUGACACUGAGGUGCGAAAGCGUGGGGAGCAAACAGG